AUGCGUUUCAUCGGCAUCUGUGUUGUGUGGGGAGCGUUUCUGACAGUCACGAUUUACGGAGAAUCUGUCACACAGCCACUGCCCUCGGCGACGAAGACAAAAGGAGAAGCGGUAACUUUAACCUGUAACUAUGAUACCACAUGGACUGGAUAUGGUUUAUACUGGUACCGACAAUAUCCAGGCAUGCAGCCCGAGUUUACUAUGUUGAGAGACACCUACAACAAUGAAGAUAAGGCCCAAUACGCUGACAUUCGUUUCUCCAUUGAGCUCAAUGUCGCGCCUAAGUUCACCAGCUUGAGUAUCUCAGGGCUGGAUCUCAGCGACUCUGCAGUCUAUUACUGCGCACUGUGGCGCACAGUGAUGGAAACAAGUUAA